rnacentral:rRNA from 1 species
AACGAACGCUGGCGGCGUGCCUAACACAUGCAAGUCGUACGAGAAAAUCCGCUUCGGCGGGUGAGUAGAGUGGCGCACGGGUGAGUAACGCGUGGAUAAUCUGCCUUUAAGCUGGGAGUAACUCACCGAAAGGUGGGCAACUACCCAAUGAUGCUAUGGAGCUUCGGUUUUAUAGACAAAGAGAGACACUACAUGUAAGCCCUCACUUAACGAUGAGUCCGCGUACCAUUAGCUGGUUGGUAGGGUAAUGGCCUACCAAGGCGACGAUGGUUAGCUGGUCUUGGAGGAUGAUCAGCCACACUGGAACUGAGACACGGUCCAGACUCCUACGGGAGGCAGCAGUGAGGAAUAUUGCGCAAUGGGGGCAACCCUGACGCAGCAACGCCGCGUGAGUGAGGAAGGUUUUCGGAUCGUAAAGCUCUGUCGGGUGGGAAGAAAUGUAUGGAGGUUAAUAGCCUUUGUACUUGACGGUACCGCCAAAGGAAGCACCGGCUAACUCCGUGCCAGCCGCCGCCGUAAGAC